rnacentral:rRNA from 1 species
CCGCACAAGCGGAGGAACCAUGUGGUUUAAUUUGGAUGAUACGCGAGGAACCUUACCCGGGCUUGAAUUGCAGAGGAAGGAUUUAGAGAUAAUGACGCCCUCGGGGGUCUCUGUGAAGGUGCUGCAUGGUUGUCGUCAGCUCGUGCCGUGAGGUGUCGGCUUAAGUGCCAUAACGAGCGCAACCCCUCUCUUCAGUUGCCAUCAGGUAAUGCUGGGCACUCUGGAGACACUGCCACCGUAAGGUGCGAGGAAGGUGGGGAUGACGUCAAAUCAGCACGGCCCUUACGUCCGGGGCUACACACGUGUUACAAUGGCCGGUACAGAGGGACGGUGUAAUGUAAAUUGCAUCUAAUCUUGAAAGCCGGUCCCAGUUCGGACUGGGGUCUGCAACCCGACCCCACGAAGCUGGAUUCGCUAGUAAUCGCGCAUCAGCCAUGGCGCGGUGAAUACGUUCCCGGGCCUUGUACACACCGCCCGUCAAGCCAUGAAAGCCGGGGGUGCCUGAAGUCCGUGACCGGAAGGAUCGGCCUAGGGCAAAACUGGUAAUUGGGGCUAAGUCGUAACAAGGUAGCCAAUCGAAUUCCCGCGGCC